CACCAUCACGCGACAGUCCGGCAAGGAACUGGAGGAGGUUGCGCUUCUCCUGUUCGGUGCAUGCAGUGGUGGGAGAGGCUAAGAGGAGCAGCAGGAACAGCUGCAGCACGACCGGAUGAACGGUGAAUGAGCACAUUGGCGAUGCCUUCCCACUCGUAGCAGGCCGUGCUGUUGUUACGCCACGACAUGGCGAGGCUGCCAUCUCACGACAGCCCAGAAAGGAAACGGAGGAGGUUGCGCUUCUCCUGCUCAGUGCAUGCGGUGGCGGGAGAGGCAAAGAAGAGCAGCAGGAACAACUGCAGCACUACCGGAGGAACAGUGAAUGAAUGCAUUGCUUGAAAAACCGCUUCAUGGUUUUGUUUUUCUCAUGCUUCCUGUCAGUUCCUCAGAAAUCAUAUUAAUGUCAUUUCCUUUGGGAGAAGUCCUGGAACAAAAACAGAAUUAAAGGUACAUAUCACAUAUGCAUCAUCCAUCAAUGUAAUAUUUCAGUGGGCUAGACCACUGGAGGCUGGUGGUGUUGCCACAGUGAUCUGCGGAUGGCGUUGGCCGUUGGAUGGGCCAUUUUCGUUGUCUUGUGGGGGCUGAAGAGCCACAGCUUUGUUUCCCGAGUGUCUUCUCUCUCUGAUGUUGGUCUAUGCAUGACGGCCUAGGCAUCUACGCGACGGGCAGUGCCUCACAGUGGUAAUACUGCGGCGAAGUCAAAAUCCUCGGGUCAUGAUCACGACCUUGUAAAGCACGGUAAUUGCGAUGCUAAUAUAUAUGGGCUUUUUUUGUGAUUGUAAUAUGUUUCAUUGAAUAGGUUGACAUGUUAAAUAGAGUGCAAAAUCAAAGGAAAUUGAUUUGGGAUCACGGCCUCCGUGGAGCCCGUAUUUUUCUUUUUACAAAAAUCAUAUUUGAUUUUAAAAAAAUCUGAAAAAAUACACAUGAACCUAGGGAUAUAUAUUACAUCUCUGUAAACUUUCAUGAUGAAAGACGUCCUGGUUUUGUUUUUUUAUACAGCUCACACCAAAACGUAUUUGAGCAUGAAACUUUAGUACUCCCUUUGUAAACUAAUAUAAGAUUUUCAUGUGUAUUUGUUUUCAGAAUUUUUUAAAAUUUAAAAUAUGAUUUUCGAAAUUUUAAGAAACAGGGCUCUAUGAAGCUCGGGAGCAAGAAAUCCACUCGCAAAAUCACAUGCUUUUACAGUUCUCUUUUAUAUCAACGGUAUCAAUGUUAACAUGUGAAAAAAGUGAUAUUGAGGGUCAGAGAGUGAGAGUGUCAACAGAAUUCUAUUUUCUCAUGUAUCAGUUAUGGUAGCCAAACGUGCUUUGCACGUACUCAUACCUAGUCGACGUGAAGACAAUGGCGUCUUCUGGGGAUCUUGCAUCCAUUGAAUCUUCCAAACUCUGGCUAUUUCAUUCUAUAUGAAAAAUCCGGUAAGCCAUGUUCCAUAUGGAUAAGAUAUGGAGAAAUUGAAAAAAAAGGAGCUAUGGGUAAAAAAGGGAAAAGUGCUUAUUUGCAGAAAGCAACAGGAUCCAGAAACAUGAUACGUCAAGAUGUGAUGUAGAUGGGGGCUGCUUCAACCGAACCACAAUGGUUAAUAAGCACAGAGCCGCACAACUUUGGGUUCCCACCAAAACUAGAAUUUUGAAAUGUGCUCAGCUGGCCUCUUGUUGGAAUAGGUCCUUCUAGGUUA